rnacentral:lncRNA from 1 species
UUAUCAACAUUCUUCUCUUUAGGUUCAAUUUUCUUGUUAUAGCAGUCUUUUAUGUAAUGACCAAGCUUACCACAGCCAUAGCACCUCCUGUUAUUCCUAGAUUUUGAUUUAGAUCUUGAUUUACUCCUGAACUUCUUCCUAUUACUGUUUCCAGAAUUGUUUUGAUUUGGAUAGUUAUUAUUUUGCCUAUUUGGUUGCCUCCCCUCAUGUACAAACUCUCAUGUUCCUUCCCAUAUUUUUCAAUUUUAAGUUCCAAUUCUUUACUUCUUAUGGAAUUUAUAACAACUUCUGGAGUCAAAGUAUCUCUGCCAUACUUAAUGG